rnacentral:rRNA from 1 species
AUUGAACGCUGGCGGCAUGCCUAACACAUGCAAGUCGAGCGAGCGGCGGACGGGUGAGUAAUGUAUGGGGACUGCCCGAUAGAGCGGGAUAACUACUGGAAACGGUAGCUAAAUCCGCAUAUUAUCGGCAAACCCAUAUGGGAUUAGCUAGUUGGUGAGGUAAUGGCUUACCUAGGCGACGAGCCCUAGCUGGUCUGAGAGGAUGAUCAGCCACACUGGAACUGAGACACGGCCCAGACUCCUACGGAGGCAGCAGUAGGGAAUAUUGCGCAAUGGGCGCAAGCCUGAUGCAGCCAUGCCGCGUGUAUGAAGAAGGCCCUAGGGUUGUAAAGUACUUUCAUUCGGGAGGCGUUACCGACAGAGGAAGCAACGGCUAACUCCGUGCCAGCAGCCGCGGUAAUUC